CGCAAGCCUGACGGAGCAAGACCGCGUGCGGGAUGACGGCCUAAUGGUUGUAAACCGCUUUUCUCUGGGAAGAUGGUGACGGUACCAGAGGAAUCAGCCUCGGCUAACUCCGUGCCAGCAGCCGCGGUAAUACGGAGGAGGCAAGCGUUAUCCGGAAUUAUUGGGCGUAAAGCGUCCGUAGGUGGUUAUUCAAGUCUGCUGUCAAAGCGUGGGGCUUAACUCCAUAGAGGCAGUGGAAACUGGGUGACUUGAGUGCGGUAGGGGUCGAGGGAAUUCCCAGUGUAGCGGUGAAAUGCGUAGAUAUUGGGAAGAACACCAGUGGCGAAGGCGCUCUACUGGGCCGUAACUGACGCUGAGGGACGAAAGCUAGGGGAGCG
rnacentral:rRNA from 1 species